rnacentral:tRNA from 1 species
GCUAGAAUAGCUCAAACGGUAGAGCAGCUGUCUCGUAAUCAGCAGGUUGCAGGUUCAAGUCCUGUUUCUAGCACCA